UACGGGGGGGGCAAGCGUUGUUCGGAAUUACUGGGCGUAAAGGGUCUGUAGGUGGCUUGCUAAGUCAGACGUGAAAUCCCUCGGCUUAACCGGGGAACUGCGUCUGAUACUGGAUGGCUUGAGUUUGGGAGAGGGAUGCGGAAUUCCAGGUGUAGCGGUGAAAUGCGUAGAUAUCUGGAGGAACACCGGUGGCGAAGGCGGCAUCCUGGACCAACACUGACGCUGAGUGAGCGAAAGCCAGGGGAGCAAACGGG
rnacentral:rRNA from 1 species